CGUCGUCCGUCAACAAUUGUUCGUCCAGGUGUAGUGACCACUGCGAAACGCACUUUUUUGUUGGCUCAUUUCAAAACAAACACACACACACACACACACACACACACACACCGAGACGGACAGCGGGGUGCUACGAUAAUGGCUAGAGAC
ensembl:ncRNA T04G9.9 ncRNA